rnacentral:rRNA from 1 species
UACAUGGGGUGCAAACGUUGCUCGGAAUUAUUGGGCGUAAAGCGCACGUAGGCGGUUUGUUAAGUCGGAUGUGAAAUCCCUCGGCUCAACCGGGGAACUGCGUCUGAUACUGGGUGGCUUGAAUCCGGGAGAGGGAUGCGGAAUUCCAGGUGUAGCGGUGAAAUGCGUAGAUAUCUGGAGGAACACCGGUGGCGAAGGCGGCAUCCUGGACCGGCAUUGACGCUGAGGCGCGAAAGCUAGGGGAGCAAACGGG